rnacentral:rRNA from 1 species
AAAGGAGCGAUCCGGUGACGGAUGGGCAUGCGUGACAUUAGCUAGUCGGCGGGGUAACGGCCCACCGAGGCGACGAUGUCUAGGGGUUCUGAGAGGAAGGUCCCCCACACUGGUACUGAGACACGGACCAGACUCCUACGGGAGGCAGCAGUGAGGAAUAUUGGUCAAUGGGCUUACGCCUGAACCAGCCAAGUCGCGUGAGGGAAGACUGCCCUAUGGGUUGUAAACCUCUUUUGUCAGGGAGCAACGCCGGCUACGUGUAGCCGGACUGAGAGUACCUGAAGAAAAAGCAUCGGCUAACUCCGUGCCAGCAGCCGCGGUAAUACGGAGGAUGCGAGCGUUAUCCGGAUUUAUUGGGUUUAAAGGGUGCGUAGGCGGAAUGCCAAGUCAGCGGUAAAAUCGCGGGGCUCAACCUCGCUCCGCCGUUGAAACUGGCGUUCUUGAGUGGGCGAGAAGUAUGCGGAAUGCGUGGUGUAGCGGUGAAAUGCAUAGAUAUCACGCAGAACUCCGAUUGCGAAGGCAGCAUACCGGCGCUCAACUGACGCUGAGGCACGAAAGCGUGGGGAUCGAACAGGAUUAGAUACCCUGGUAGUCCACGCAGUAAACGAUGAAUACUAGCUGU